CUGACGAGCGGCGGACGGGUGAGUAAUGCAUAGGAAUCUGCCCGGUAGUGGGGGAUAACCUGGGGAAACCCAGGCUAAUACCGCAUACGUCCUACGGGAGAAAGGGGGCUCCGGCUCCCGCUAUUGGAUGAGCCUAUGUCGGAUUAGCUAGUUGGUGAGGUAAUGGCUCACCAAGGCAACGAUCCGUAGCUGGUCUGAGAGGAUGAUCAGCCACAUCGGGACUGAGACACGGCCCGAACUCCUACGGGAGGCAGCAGUGGGGAAUAUUGGACAAUGGGGGCAACCCUGAUCCAGCCAUGCCGCGUGUGUGAAGAAGGCCCUCGGGUUGUAAAGCACUUUCAGCGAGGAAGAACGCCUAGUGGUUAAUACCCAUUAGGAAAGACAUCACUCGCAGAAGAAGCACCGGCUAACUCCGUGCCAGCAGCCGCGGUAAUACGGAGGGUGCAAGCGUUAAUCGGAAUUACUGGGCGUAAAGCGCGCGUAGGUGGCUUGAUAAGCCGGUUGUGAAAGCCCCGGGCUCAACCUGGGAACGGCAUCCGGAACUGUCAGGCUAGAGUGCAGGAGAGGAAGGUAGAAUUCCCGGUGUAGCGGUGAAAUGCGUAGAGA
rnacentral:rRNA from 1 species